rnacentral:rRNA from 1 species
GACGAACGCUGGCGGCGUGCUUAACACAUGCAAGUCGUACGGUAAGGCCCUUUCGGGGGUACACGAGUGGCGAACGGGUGAGUAACACGUGAGUAACCUGCCCACAACUUUGGGAUAACGCUAGGAAACUGGUGCUAAUACUGGAUAUGUGCUCCUGCUGCAUGGUGGGGGUUGGAAAGCUCCGGCGGUUGUGGAUGGAAUCGCGGCCUAUCAGCUUGUUGGUGGGGUAGUGGCCUACCAAGGCGGCGACGGGUAGCCGGCCUGGGAGGGUGACCGGCCACAAUGGGACUGGGAUACGGCCCAGACUCCUACGGGAGGCAGCAGGGGGGAAUAUUGCACAAUGGGCGCGAGCCUGAUGCAGCAACGCCGCGGGCGGGAUGACGGGCUUCGGGUUGUAAACCGCUUUCAGCAGGGACGAAGCUUUUUGUGACGGUACCUGCAGAAGAAGCACCGGCUAACUACGUG